CCGGCCCCGCGGCCACGUGGCGGCGACGCCCGACACGGCGACACCCGUCGGCGCCGUCAGAGGGGACGAAAUGUGUCUAUUUUCUGGGAAGGCCCAUUCAUUGCGCCUUAUCUGUCUUCCCGCACGACGGCUGCACCUGACUGCCGCAUGCUGAAGCCGCUGAAGCCGCUGAAGCCUCGACGCCCCGCAUCGUGGAGAAGGAUUCGCGGAUUCGCGCGAAAAGUGUCACCCGCUCGAGAGCUGCGUCGCCGCGUGUCGGCGUUCUGUUUGCAGUAACUAAGGCACGUGGUAUGGGUUCCGGGGCGUCAGCGGUCAAAGGAAAAACCCUCAUGGUCACGUCCAUUGGAGCCUCGACAAUCGUAGGUGUCUGACGCAGCUCGGGGCCUUCCCGCCACGCCCUCGGCCACGCCGCCGUGGACCCCGGGGCUGCCAUUGACGGCGUGCUAUCAGCAUCAGGGGCAACGCCAGGGCAGCGCGGAGGCCGGGCGGCCGGCCAAAACGCUGACAGGUGACGGCGGCGACGGAAAAUCACGGAAACCUUAGCAAAACAUCAACAAAUGACGCUAAGAUGGCGUCGCUCGCGCGAUUUGUGGAAAUAAGGAGUGUGGCUGUGCGCACACUCGGCACCCCCUUUCUCGGGAGGGAGUUGAAAAAAUAAUCUUGAGACAAAUAACAGACUGUAUGCGCGCCAUGUUGAACGAGACCGUUCUGCAGAGUCAAGACGAUACGGUGAAGUGGGGCGGCCCCGUUCUUCGAAUCGCUCGGGGCCCCGCCAUGGGCCGCGUCGGGCCGCGCGCAACCACACCGUAAACACGAUGCAAGGGCUUAUUCCGCUCGCAAACACU